AUGCCAUGGUGUGGGCAUUUUCUUAACAGCUCUUUAAACCUUUCCCAUGCAUCAGGAACAGCUUCAUCGUCCAUUUGUUUAGAAAAAAAGACAUUUCAUUUCUGGACUU